rnacentral:lncRNA from 1 species
GGACACUAUUUUUUAAACAUUUUAAAAUAUAUAUGAUAAUUUUAGAGGAUUUUCUAUAUUUAAUUUUAGAAGAUUAGAGCAGACUCAUGGCAGGAUUAUGAGCACAUAAGGUUCUAGUCAGGAACCUUUGUGAAUCAAAGUUUUGUAAAAUUAUUAUUUUAUUGUACCUACUACGUAUGAUCUGUGAAGAAGAUGACCUGUGUCCUAGCAACAAAGGGACAUGUACCUGGUCCAUGUUCAAGAAGGGAAAUGGAAAUGGCUUUUCUUUAAACAGUCCACAAGUUGAGCCAACCCCUCAGUAACCAGCCACUGAUAGCCUUUGGUAAAUUGUUAUUCUGGGCUCUGGUUUUCUCUGUCAUUAGCAGCAAGCUGGUAACCUUGGCCCUUGUAUUACCAAAGGAAGCAAGAAUCAGGUCAAAUCUUGAAUGACACCAGACAAGGUAGAACUCAUGAAAGGUGAAGGGAAGAGAUGUUGACCAAGUCAGGGAAACCUUAAGAGGGUCUGUGGUGUGUGUUAGUCAAGGCUCUCUGGGAGUCCUUUAUGGUAUUAUAGUGACAUUGUCCUAACUCAGUUUGUGGACAGGAGUUAUUGUUUUAAUGAGUGUCUUUGUAUACAUUCCUAUAGAAUGUAAAAUUGUGCUUGUCUUUUACAUAUACUUCCUGGCACCUAGAAGAUGGUAUAGUUUAUUUUUUAUAAGAGUGUACCUAAUUGGAGGUAAUACAUAUGCAAUCAAAAUCUAAUUUUUAGAAAAAAAAUUAAAAAUGUAAAAAUGGGGCACAUAGACUGAAUUUCAAAUAGAAUGAAUUCUUUGACUUCCUGCUGCACUCAUUAGCCAUUGGGCACACAUUAUUCAUAUCCUGUUACAUGGCCACAUAUCAGUAUAUAUACAUUUACAAAAUAGGCAAAAGUCCCUGUAAUGGUUGGGGGAGGAGACAGGAGGUCAUAGCUUAAAAGAAAGGCAUUUCCACUAAUACUAAGCAGGUAGCUCUUGGAUGGGAAAAUAUCAUUCGUUUUGUAUGUGAAAAAGAAUACACAUGAGAGCUGAAGGAUGCUAGUUAUGUCUAGUUAUUCAAAAGAGCAACAAAGAGUCAGGAGCCAGAUUCAUUCAGAGGAGAAAAUAUGUUCUGGAAUAAAAAAGAUGAACUUUAUACUCUAGCUAUCCAUAUGGCAUGUAAGGCUUUGGCCACAUUAUUUAAAUAGGAAAAUUUUUUUAAAUGAUAGUUUUUUGUUGUUGUUGUUGUUUUUAGUUCGUUAUAAUUAGAAGAGAAUGUAUUAAAAUACCUGGUCUGUGGCAGAUACUAGUCGAUAAACUGAAAACAAUAUUCACUUAUUCAACAUUUAUCAGUUUCUGAGUUUGCUCUUGGUGUUUACUUUAUAAUCCCUUCCCCAAACAAAUGAAACAGUAAAAUGAAGUCAGCUUGCAGGUCACAGAGCAAAUUAGAGGCAAAGAUAGGCCUAGAGUUGUCCAGUAUUUCCACAAGAGCUAUUUUUUCCUCUCUUUUCCAAAGACUGAAGAUUCUUGCUCCUGCCACACACACCCUCCCCUGUCCUGGAGAGAAAGUAAUAAAUUCCAACUGGGGGCAAGCCUUUCUUUGGCUCACCCUCAUCUGCUCACCUCUUCUGUCCAGCAGCCUGCCCACAUCUGCACCACUGCCACUGUCUCCAUGGGGUCAGGAUCUGUUCUGUGUGAUGCCCCCAGGCUCCUUUUCACAUUCCUGGGCCAUGAGGGGUCUGCCUCCUGAGUCCUGUGCAAUUGCCUGGUACCCCCACCUCCACCUCCUCCUGCACUUUCUUUCUUGUGCUUCCACACCUCAGGAGUUGUGUUGUUUACAAUCUGUUGUUUAAACUAAGUUUGCAUUUUAACCCUAAAGAUUAUUGGAUGGUAUCUUGGUUUGGAGUGCUUUUGAUCUCCCUCUUCUAGAUUAUUCAAAAGGGGCUUUUAAGAGGAACCUUAAAAGUCUGUUCUGAGGAUAAUUCCAGUAAUGCCUCCUACUUAUGUUGGUAGAGAAUGCUCCCACUGUUGGUCAAGAAGUCAAUUUUGUUUGUUUCUGGUGUCAUCAUCAGUAUGUUGUUUAUCUAAGAGCAAAUUGAUUAAUUAAUCCUUCAUUCCAUUUGUUUAAUUUAGUUGUAUAAAAUAUAAUUUUAAGAAAAUAUUUUGAUUAAUUGCAUGAGAGAUAUAUAGGUGUAAAAUGUUUAUUUGCUAUGCUAGUUGCUUGUAGUUCUGUGCAAACAGUGUAAGUUGUCAUCCCUCUGUACAGCCAUUUUUUUUUUUAAACUAGGAAAAAAAUUACUACAUUAUAUUUCAGGUCAAGAUUCAUUCUUUGAAAUAACAGUGCAGAGAAUAACUAACAAAGAAAAAUGCCUUACUUUUUUUUAAAACUGGGAAUCAAACAUUCCCAGUCUUUCCCCCCCUCACAUUUUUUUAAUUGGUGCCUUAUAGUUGUAGAUGAUGGUGGGAUUUGUCAUUACAUAUUUGCACAUGCACACAUAUAACAACAUAUUUUGGCCAAUAUCAAUCCAGUCAUUUUUAUUUAUUUUUUAACUUUAAGACAAAGUCUCCCUAAAUUGCUGAAGCUGGCAUUAAAUGUGUGAUCCUCUUGCCUCAGGCACCACAGUCAUUGGGAUUACCUGUAUGUACCACCACACCCAGCUCUUAGGGAUAGUUUUUAACUUAAUCAACGUAUGCAGGGUGCUAAGUAUAAGUACAAUGAUGGUGAUGGUUCUGGGGCAUUGUUAGGGGAGAUUUCAUACAUGUCUAAGGUCUUUGCUCUAGAAGCCUUUCUCUAAAAAUAUAAUAGUAAGAAGAGACUUCUCCACUGACUUCCUAACAGAGCUCUUGUGGGGGCUACCUGGGCCACCAUUAGGGUCCCUACCUUUGUUGUCAGUAUUCCUAUUCCUGCUCACAUUGUGCUAUCCUGGAGACCUGGUGGGGGCAGGGAAGGGGGUUGGCUUCUAAUGACAGUAUGGAUGUUCCAAGUUCUAACUUUAGGCCUACACUGCACCUUUGGGCUUUGGGGGCUGGGUCUUUCUGAGUUUAUCUGCCUCUUCCCCCAGAACAGCCAAACUUAAUUGCAUUUGUUGGAGAAGGGGUUGUAGGUGGGAGGGAGUUUCCUUGUCAAGAGAAAAGUAAGGCUUCCUGGCAUACAGAAUUUGAGCUUAAGGGGACAUCCUGCCUCUCCCUCUGCACUGAGGGGCUUUUGCUUCCUUUGAGAGCAGACCUGGUGAUGCUGGUGGGGUUUGUGCAGUCUCCUACUCUGCCUACUGAUUUUCUCAUGAGCACCUUGUGGAGGCCUGUGGAGAAGAACUUGCAUGUGAGGAUGAAAUUCCACUUAUUCUAAACCGUCUUGGUACCCACAUGUACCCAUCAGUAAAUUAUUACAAUAUUAGUGUUUUCUUCUAUGGAGACUGCCUUCUGCUUUGCCAAAGGCAAAAAAGCAUGUAGCACCCUUUCAGAGUUUCUUGGCUGUCUUUGAGAUUUGGUAUACACAGAGACUUUUGGCCUCCUUUCUUAAAUAAGCUAAAGAAAAUUAGGAUUUUGUAGAUUACCUGGCAUUUUCUUGUUAUCAGGUUGGGAGCAACUGUAUUUUAGACUUUCUUCAUUCAUUGGAAGUGAAGUUCCAUAAAUCCAUUAGGGAAAGGAAAGUCUUCAAGAAAUGAGGCUUGAACUCUUUGAUAUGUGUAUAUGGAGGAAAAAUGAAAUAAGAAAGAAAAGGAGUGAGGGAGGGAGGGAGGAAGGAAGUAAGAAACAGCCUUACUUCACAUAAUAUUCAGAAUUGAUUAGAGACAGACUGUAGAGUAAAUGGAAAAACAACAACACCAAAACAAAACAACAACAAAAAACUCCAUAACUUCCUGAAGAAAAACUUAGGGAAAGAAUACCAUAAUUUGGGAUGUAAGCAAAGGAUUCUUGGAUGGGAAAUAGAAGGCAAUCUCCUCAAGGAAAAAAAUCCUAAUUAUUUAUGAUUUUAUCAUAAAUUAAAACUUCAUCAAAAUGUAAUACUAAGAAAAUGUAUAGACAGGUAAUAUUAGGUGAACAUAUUCUCAAAUUGUACAUCUAGAAUUAAAGAAGUAUUUGGGAUAUAAAAAUUACCCAUACACAUCAAUACUAAAUUUUUAAAAAAUUAAAUUAAAAAUAAAAAAAUAAAUGUUAAAAAACAAAAAAUAAGCCAAGAAUUUCAACAUAUAUUUUAUAAAAUUUAAAUGGCUAGUAAGCACCUUAAAAAAUGUGCACAUUAUUCAUAAUCAGGGAAAAAUUAAGUAAAAUCCACUGGUUUUUCUAAAAAGUAAGAUGAUUAACAACACCAAGAGCUGAUGAAGAUGUGUCAUGGGUGACAAAAAAACUUUCCUGUAUUCUUUAUUAAUGAGAAGACAAAACCUUCCCUUUGUGAAGGUCUGGCCAUUUUAAUAAGACUAAAUAUAAAGCUAUCCUCUGGCUCAGGUCUUCACUCUUCUAGACAUUUAACCAAAAGAACUGAAAGAUUAUGUUUACCAAGAUACUUGUACAUGAUGUCUCAUACCACUUUAUCCAUACCCAUCAAAAGCUGGACCCUGCUCAGGAGUCCAUCAGUGGGAGUUUUGGUAUUAUGGGAUAUGAUGCUGCUCACCACAGAAAGAGCAUGCAUCCACCUUGAGUUGGUCUCAGAAAGCAGACUGAGGGAAGAAGCUUUGUCUACAAGAAUUUCUGCAGCAUUCAGGCUCAGUGGCUCAUUCUUGUAAUCCCAGGGGCUCAGGAGGCUGAGGUAGGAGGUUUACAAGUUCAAAACCAGCCAGAGUAACUAAGCAAGGACCUAUGCAAUUUAGGGAGACACUGUCUCUAAAUAAUAAACAUAAAUAGGGCUGGGAUGUGGCUCAGUGGUUAAGCACCUCUGGGUUCAAUCCCUGAUACCAAAAAUAAGCAAGUAAAUAAAUAAAUAUAUCCACAGCAAAAUUCAAAUAGCUUCAGCUCUAGAACACUUACAACUGAUGUUUAGUGAAAUAACUAGCAUGCCAGUUGCUUGUGGUGGGAAUGACUAGAAAUGGGACUUGGAAGAAGCAUUAGGGAGUUCCCCAAGUGGCUGGCAAUUUCCAUAGCUGGAUAGAGGUUUAGGUCACACAGCCAAUUACAUUUGUCUAAACCAAUUGACUAGCAUACUUAAUGCUGUGCAUUUAACUUUCUGCAAAUCCAGCCCCAUCAAGAUAGACAGAGAAACCAUAAGCAAAUAUCAAACUGCAGUUAAUGAUGUGCAAGCUGCAGUGUUAGAGGGGAAGUAUUCCAAGGUAUGCACUUUGAAACUGAGAAAAGGAGGAAGAGGAAGGAAGAAGGGGGAAGGAGGGACAAAUGAAUGGAUGGGUGGAUGGGUAGUGGUCUGUAUACAUGAUAGACAUGCCAUGAGGCAAAUCCACUAAAAUGAUAAUUGUAGAGUCUGGGUGAUAAAUGGGAAUGAUUGCAAACCCUUUAAACUUCUCUGCAUAUUUGAAAAUGUUUUUAGUAAAACACUGGGUGGGGCAUAGGCUAGAACAGGAAAUAUAGGAGUUGUACGUUAUCAGAUCUGGCUCCUAAUUCUGAAACCUAAUAGCUGUGUGAGCUUGGACAAGUCACCUGGUAUCUAUUAGCCUCAGUUUCCUAUGCUAUAAGAUGGGUCAAUAACAAUGUUUACUGCUGACAAUGUCUUCUCCCCUGAACACCCCCCAGGCACUUUUCAAUGUUAGCUGAAGUAUUGCUCCUAUUCCUAUGGAUUGCUCUGCUUUACAGAUCAGAAUUGAAGGUGAAAGAGAGAGAGAGAGAAAAGAAUAUUCAAGAAGUCUGUCACCUUAC